rnacentral:rRNA from 1 species
AUUCCAGCUCCAAUAGCGUAUAUUAAAGUUGUUGCAGUUAAAACGCUCGUAGUCGGAUUUCGGGGCGGGCCGACCGGUCUGCCGAUGGGUAUGCACUGGCCGGCGCGUCCUUCCACCCGGAGACCGCGCCUACUCUUAACUGAGCGGGCGCGGGAGACGGGUCUUUUACUUUGAAAAAAUCAGAGUGUUUCAAGCAGGCAGUCGCUCUUGCAUGGAUUAGCAUGGGAUAAUGAAAUAGGACCUCGGUUCUAUUUUGUUGGUUUCUAGAGCUGAGGUAAUGAUUAAUAGGGAUAGUUGGGGGCAUUAGUAUUUAUUAGCUAGAGGUGGAAUUCUCUAAUUUGAUAAAGACUAACUUAUGCGAGAGCAUUUGCCAAGGAUGUUUUCAUCA